rnacentral:rRNA from 1 species
CCUACGGGGGGCUGCAGUGAGGAAUCUUGGUCAAUGGCCGGGAGGCUGAACCAGCCAAGUCGCGUGAGGGAAGACGGCCCUACGGGUUGUAAACCUCUUUUGUCAGGGAGCAAGGUGCAGGUCGGGACCUGCUGUGAGAGUACCUGAAGAAAAAGCAUCGGCUAACACCGUGCCAGCAGCCGCGGUAAUACGGAGGCUGCGAGCGUUAUCCGGGUUUAUUGGGGUAAAAGGGUGCGCAGGCGGAGGCACAAGUCAGCGGUAAAAUCGCGGGGCUCAACCCCGGUCCGCCGUUGAAACUGUGUCCCUUGAGUGCGCGAAGGGUAGGCGGAAUGCGUGGUGUAGCGGUGAAAUGCGUAGAUAUCACGCAGAACACCGGUCGCGAAGGCAGCCUACCGGCGCGCAACUGACGCUCAUGCACGAAAGCGUGGGUAUCGAACAGGAUUAGAUACCCGUGUAGUC